UGGGGAAUAUUGGACAAUGGGCGAAAGCCUGAUCCAGCCAUGCCGCGUGUGUGAAGAAGGUCUUCGGAUUGUAAAGCACUUUAAGUUGGGAGGAAGGGCAGUUACCUAAUACGUAUCUGUUUUGACGUUACCGACAGAAUAAGCACCGGCUAACUCUGUGCCAGCAGCCGCGGUAAUACAGAGGGUGCAAACGUUGCUCGGAAUUAUUGGGCGUAAAGCGCGUGUAGGCGGCUUGUUAAGUUGGUUGUGAAAACCCAUGGCUCAACCAUGGAAGUGCGUCCAAAACUGGCAAGCUAGAGUUCUGACGAGGAUGGCGGAAUUCCCAGUGUAGAGGUGAAAUUCGUAGAUAUUGGGAGGAACACCGGUGGCGAAGGCGGCCAUCUGGGAAGAUACUGACGCUGAGACGCGAAAGCGUGGGGAGCAAACAGGAUUAGAUACCCUAGUAGUCCCUGAGCGGGCUGGCAAGGCGCAU
rnacentral:rRNA from 1 species